UUUUGUAUGUGUAUAUUUAUUUGUACAUUUUUUGAUAAUUAGGCGGGGAGCGUUCUUUUUCAACAUUGUGCUUUGCGUUGGCGCUUCAUGAAAUGACAGAGGCCCCUUUUAGAGCAAUGGAUGAAUUUGAUGUCUUCAUGGAUGCAGUAAGCCGAAAAAUCAGCUUGGACACUCUAGUUGAUUUUGCGGAGGCACAUGGAUCACAGUGGAUAUUCAUCACUCCGCAUGAUACUAGCAUGGUGAGGGCUGGGGACAGGAUAAAAAAGAUGCAGAUGGCUGCUCCUCGUUCUUGACCGUUUGUUUAUUCAUGGCAGCUGGAAACCCAUGAAACUGUUUUUUGUGUUUAAUCAUGUCCAAUAUCUGAUAAUUAUUUGCUUUAAAUUUUAUUUAUGGUGUUUGAGGGGCAAGUUUAACCAAGAUCUAUACAUUUUCAGUUAAAUAUUUUAUUUAUGUGAUGUAAAUAAAUAGAUAAGAUUAGGUCUGAAUUCUUCCUUAAAAGUGUAUUAUUCCAGGUAAGUGCCUCGCUUUGAUUGGUGGAUAAAUAACACUUGUAAAUUUGCAUUUCAAAUGUGAAACUCUUGUGUACUUAAACAACAA